rnacentral:rRNA from 1 species
GACGAACGCUGGCGGCGUGCUUAACACAUGCAAGUCGAACGGAAAGGCCCUGCUUUUGUGGGGUGCUCGAGUGGCGAACGGGUGAGUAACAAGUGAGUAACCUGCCCUUGACUUUGGGAUAACUUCAGGAAACUGGGGAUCAUAUCCGAUAGGAGCUCCUGCUGCCUGGUGGGGGUAGGAUCGUUUCGGCGGUUGGCGGUGGACUCGCGGUUUAUCAGCCUGUUGGGGGGGUUGUGGCUUACCCAGGCCUUGACGGGUUGCCGGCCUGGGAGGGGUGCCGGCCACAUUGGGACUGAGGGACGGAGCAGAGUCCUACAGGGGGCAGCAGUGGGGAAUAUUGCACAGUGGGCGGAAGCGUGAUGCGGCAACGCCGCGUGCGGGAUGACGGCCUUCGGGUUAUAAACCGCUUUCGCCUGUGACGAAGCGUGAGUGACGGUAAUGGGUGAAGAAGCACCGGCUAACUACGUG